rnacentral:rRNA from 1 species
GACGAACGCUGGCGGCGUGCUUAACACAUGCAAGUCGAACGGAAAGGCCCUGCUUUUGUGGGGUGCUCGAGUGGCGAACGGGUGAGUAACACGUGAGUAACCUGCCCUUGACUUUGGGAUAACUUCAGGAAACUGGGGCUAAUACCGGAUAGGAGCUCCUGCUGCAUGGUGGGGGUUGGAAAGUUUCGGCGGUUGGGGAUGGACUCGCGGCUUAUCAGCUUGUUGGUGGGGUAGGGGCUUACCAAGGCUUUGACGGGUAGCCGGCCUGAGAGGGUGACCGGCCACAUUGGGACUGAGAUACGGCGCAGACUCCUACGGGAGGCAGCAGUGGGGAAUAUUGCACAAUGGGCGGAAGCCUGAUGCAGAAACGCCGCGUGCGGGAUGACGGCCUUCGGGUUGUAAACCGCUUUCGCCUGUGACGAAGCGUGAGUGACGGUAAUGGGUAAAGAAGCACCGGCUAACUACGUG